rnacentral:rRNA from 1 species
GAUGAACGCUGGCGGCGUGCCUAAUACAUGCAAGUCGAGCGAACAGACGAGGAGCUUGCUCCUCUGACGUUAGCGGCGGACGGGUGAGUAACACGUGGAUAACCUACCUAUAAGACUGGGAUAACUUCGGGAAACCGGAGCUAAUACCGGAUAAUAUAUUGAACCGCAUGGUUCAAUAGUGAAAGACGGUUUUGCUGUCACUUAUAGAUGGAUCCGCGCCGCAUUAGCUAGUUGGUAAGGUAACAGCUUACCAAGGCAACGAUGCGUAGCCGACCUGAGAGGGUGAUCGGCCACACUGGAACUGAGACACGGUCCAGACUCCUACGGGAGGCAGCAGUAGGGAAUCUUCCGCAAUGGGCGAAAGCCUGACGGAGCAACGCCGCGUGAGUGAGGAAGGUCUUCGGAUCGUAAAACUCUGUUAUUAGGGAAGAACAAAUGUGUAAGUAACGAUGCACGUCUUGACGGUACCUAAUCAGAAAGCCACGGCUAACUACGU